UACGUAGGGACCAAGCGUUGUUCGGAUUUACUGGGCGUGAAGGGCGCGUAGGCGGCGUGGUAAGUCACUUGUGAAAUCUCUGAGCUUAACUCAGAACGGCCAAGUGAUACUGCUGUGCUAGAGUGCAGAAGGGGCAAUCGGAAUUCUUGGUGUAGCGGUGAAAUGCGUAGAUAUCAAGAGGAACACCUGAGGUGAAGACGGGUUGCUGGGCUGACACUGACGCUGAGGCGCGAAAGCCAGGGAGCAAACGGG
rnacentral:rRNA from 1 species